AUUGGACUUGCUGGGUCAGAUGGUUACUCUAUGUUUAACUUUUUGAGGAACUGCCAAAUUCUUUUUCAAAGUGGCUAUACCACUUUACAUUCUCUCCAGCAAU
rnacentral:pre_miRNA from 1 species